rnacentral:rRNA from 1 species
UAUCUCUGUAGAGUCUGCAUAUCAAUAAGCGGAGGAAAAGAAACUAACUAGGAUUCCCUCAGUAACGGCGAGUGAAGCGGGAAGAGCUCAAAUUUGAAAUCUUCAAGGUUCUACCUUGACGAAUUGUAGUUUAAAGAAGUGUUUUCUGUUGGAGUUUUGGUAAAAGUUCUUUGGAAUAGGACAUCAUAGAGGGUGAGAAUCCCGUAUUUGACCGUUAUUUUCAGCUGUGUGAUACACUUUCAAAGAGUCGGAUUGUUUGGGAAUGCAGUCCAAAAUGGGUGGUAAAUUUCAUCUAAAGCUAAAUAUUGGCGAGAGACCGAUAGCGAACAAGUACCGUGAGGGAAAGAUGAAAAGAACUUUGAAAAGAGAGUUAAACAGUACGUGAAAUUGUCAAAAGGGAAGCGUUUGACACCAGUGUUGUUUUCUCGAAAAUCAAUUAAAAAAGGCAGGAUUUUGUGUUGUAUUGACUUUAUCAGCUUUCUGCACUCUUUUCUUGUCUUUUUUAAUGCACUUUUCGUUUAACAAGUCAACAUCAAUUUCUUUUGUUGUAAAAGGGUCAUUGGAAGGUGGCUUUCUUUUCGGAGAAAGUGUUUAUAGCCUUUGAUCUCUGCAAUCGGAGAGACUGAGGUCUGCAGCGUAGAUCCUUCGGGGUUAGAUACAUUUGUGCUAAGUUAUAGCCUUUCAUAGACAACUUGUUGACUAUGAUCAGUCAUGUAGCUUACUCGCUUAUGCUAUUUUACCUACGCUUAGGAUGUUGAUAGUCACAGCGUGUAC